GGGGAUGUAGCUCAGCUGGAUAGAGCAGCCCCCUCCUAAGGGGCAGGCCGGAGGUUCGAAUCCUCUCAUCCUCA
rnacentral:tRNA from 1 species